rnacentral:rRNA from 1 species
AUUGAACGCUGGCGGAAUGCUUUACACAUGCAAGUCGAGCGGCAGCGCGGCCUUCGGGCUGGCGGCGAGCGGCGAACGGGUGAGUAAUGCAUCGGAACAUGCCCAGUCGUGGGGGACAACACUUCGAAAGAAGUGCUAAUACCGCAUACGUCCUGAGGGGGAAAGCGGGGGAUCGCAAGACCUCGCGCGAUUGGAGUGGCCGAUGUCAGAUUAGCUAGUUGGUGGGGUAAAGGCCUACCAAGGCGACGAUCUGUAGCUGGUCUGAGAGGAUGAUCAGCCACACUGGGACUGAGACACGGCCCAGACUCCUACGGGAGGCAGCAGUGGGGAAUUUUGGACAAUGGGGGCAACCCUGAUCCAGCCAUUCCGCGUGAGUGAAGAAGGCCUUCGGGUUGUAAAGCUCUUUCGGCAGGAACGAAACGGUGGGCUCUAACAUAGUCCGCUAAUGACGGUACCUGAAGAAGAAGCACCGGCUAACUACGUG